rnacentral:tRNA from 1 species
CAUUAAGAAGCUAAGCCAGCGUUAACCUUUUAAGUUAAAGAUUGGGAAUCACACGUUCCCCUUGA